rnacentral:piRNA from 1 species
UGGCCUAGGUCAGGAGCUCAGAAGUGCCAC